CCUACGGGUCGCACCAGUGGGGAAUAUUGCACAAUGGGCGCAAGCCUGAUGCAGCCAUGCCGCGUGUAUGAAGAAGGCCUUCGGGUUGUAAAGUACUUUCAGCGGGGAGGAAGGCGAUAAGGUUAAUAACCUUGUCGAUUGACGUUACCCGCAGAAGAAGCACCGGCUAACUCCGUGCCAGCAGCCGCGGUAAUACGGAGGGUGCAAGCGUUAAUCGGAAUUACUGGGCGUAAAGCGCACGCAGGCGGUUUGUCAAGUCGGAUGUGAAAUCCCCGGGCUCAACCUGUGAACUGCAUUAGAGACUGGCAGGCUGGAGUCUUGUAGAGGGGGGUAGAAUUCCAGGUGUAGCGGUGAAAUGCGUAGAGAUCUGGAGGAAUACCGGUGGCGAAGACGGCCCCCUGGACAAAGACUGACGCUCAGGUGCGAAAGCGUGGGGAGCAAACAGGAUUAGAUACCCGUGUAGUC
rnacentral:rRNA from 1 species